rnacentral:rRNA from 1 species
UCAGAGGGAGGUAGAANUUCCACGUGUAGCAGUGAAAUGCGUAGAGAUGUGGAGGAAUACCGAUGGCGAAGGCAGCCUCCUGGGAUAACACUGACGUUCAUGCCCGAAAGCGUGGGUAGCAAACAGGAUUAGAUACCCUGGUAGUNCACGCCCUAAACGAUGUCGAUUAGCUGUUGGGCAGCAUGACUGCUUAGUAGCGAAGCUAACGCGUGAAAUCGACCGCCUGGGGAGUACGGUCGCAAGAUUAAAACUCAAAGGAAUUGACGGGGACCCGCACAAGCGGUGGAUGAUGUGGAUUAAUUCGAUGCAACGCGAAGAACCUUACCUGGUCUUGACAUGUACGGAACCCUCCAGAGACGGAGGGGUGCCUUCGGGAGCCGUAACACAGGUGCUGCAUGGCUGUCGUCAGCUCGUGUCGUGAGAUGUUGGGUUAAGUCCCGCAACGAGCGCAACCCUUGUCAUUAGUUGCCAUCAUUAAGUUGGGCACUCUAAUGAGACUGCCGGUGACAAGCCGGAGGAAGGUGGGGAUGACGUCAAGUCCUCAUGGCCCUUAUGACCAGGGCUUCACACGUCAUACAAUGGUCGGUACAGAGGGUAGCCAAGCCGCGAGGUGGAGCCAAUCUCACAAAACCGAUCGUAGUCCGGAUUGCACUCUGCAACUCGAGUGCAUGAAGUCGGAAUCGCUAGUAAUCGCAGGUCAGCAUACUGCGGUGAAUACGUUCCCGGGUCUUGUACACACCGCCCGUCACACCAUGGGAGUGGGGGAUACCAGAAGUAGGUAGGGU